GACGAACGCUGGCGGCGUGCUUAACACAUGCAAGUCGAACGGAAAGGCCCUGCUUGCAGGGUACUCGAGUGGCGAACGGGUGAGUAACACGUGGGUGAUCUGCCCUGCACUUCGGGAUAAGCCUGGGAAACUGGGUCUAAUACCGGAUAGGAGCCAUAUUUAGUGUGAUGGUUGGAAAGUUUUUUCGGUGUAGGAUGAGCUCGCGGCCUAUCAGCUUGUUGGUGGGGUAAUGGCCUACCAAGGCGGCGACGGGUAGCCGGCCUGAGAGGGUGGAAGGCCACAUUGGGACUGAGAGACGGCCCAGACUCCGACGGGAGGCAGCAGUGGGGAAGAUUGCACAAUGGGCGCAAGCCUGAUGCAGCGACGCCGCGUGGGGGAUGACGGCCUUCGGGUUGUAAACUCCUUUCGCUAGGGACGAAGCUUUUUGUGACGGUACCUAGAUAAGAAGCACCGGCUAACUACGUG
rnacentral:rRNA from 1 species